rnacentral:sRNA from 1 species
UCCAGUUCUUUUGGUCCUAUAUUGUAGUC